rnacentral:rRNA from 1 species
GGGUCAGUAGGUUGGUCGUGCCACCGGUACGUACUGGUCUCACUGAUUCCUCCUUCCUGAAGAACCGUAAUGCCAUUAAUUUGGUGUUGCGGGGAAACAGGACUGUUACUUUGGAAAAAUUAGAGUGUUUAAAGCAAGCUAACGCUUGAAUACAUUAGCAUGGAAUAAUGAAAUAGGACGAUCGAUCCUAUUUUGUUGGUCUCUAGGAUUGACGUA